ensembl:lncRNA
AGGAUUGCUCACGUUACUUCAGCCAAUCAGAGAACUGUGCAUGAGUGGAUUGCUUAUCAUGUAGCCCCCCUCCCUCACCAGGCCUUUCAAAAUACUUUGCUGAAACCUUCUGGGGAGUUGGGGGUUUGGGGGGCAAGAAAGAAAGUGAAGUCGCUCAGUGGUGUCCGACUCUUUGCGACCCCGUGGACUGUAGCCUACCAGGCUUCUCCAUCCAUAGGAUUCUCCAGGCAAGAAUACUGGAGUGGGUUACUGUUUCCUUCUCCAGAGGAUCUUCCUGACCCAAGGAUUGAACCCAGGUCUCCUGCAUUGGAGGCAGACACUUUAACCACUGAGCCACCAGGGAGCGACCCAUUUUCCUUGCAUGGCCUGCAGUAAGCCUUUCUCUGUUCCAAACACCAACAUUUCAGUACUGUUUGGCCUCACUGUGCCAUCAGGCACAAGGACUUGGCCUUUGGGAACAAGAGAAACAGAGGCCUGAGCCCCUUUCCAGAAGAUUUCCCAGCUGAGCUGAUUGGCUGUGGCAUUAGUCCAGGUAACCAAGUACCCUUUCCACGCAGAAGCAGCAGACCCAGAGUCAUAGCCAAGCACAAGCACAUACGUCUUUCACAGAGCACUGCGCUCUCUCAGGGCCGAGUCUCACCUUGGAGGUUGAUGAUGCUCCGAAGUCACGGGGAGCUGGAGCCCAUCUCCACCGACAGCCGUCUGGCUUUUGGAUUCCAGUCACAUUCUUCACCAGCCGAAGGGAGUGCUCAAGGCCCUUCUGUCCAUGGGAUUCUCCAGGCAAGACUACUGAAGUGGAUUGCCAUGUCCUCCUCCAGGGAUCUUCCUGACCCAGGGAUCGAACCCACACCUUUUAUGUCUCCUGCAUUGACAGGAUAGAUCAAUGAAAUCCUCCGAGUGGCAUGACCCUUCAUGUGGCUCUUGCUUGCCUAUCCAGCCAAAUCUUCCCCCUCCCUGCUUCGUAUUUGUGCUGUCACCUGAAAUGCUGCCAGGCUUCACCCUGAUCUCUAGGGUGUGGCUCUUAGCUUUCACACACCUUGUACUUUCCCCAUUAAAAUAAUGAUCAGGGAUUUCCCUGGUGGUCCAGUGGCUAAGACUCUGUGCUCCCAAUGCAGGGGGAGCUGUGAUCAAUCCCUGGUCAGGGAACUAGAUCC